rnacentral:rRNA from 1 species
CCUACGUGGCGCAGCAGUGAGGAAUAUUGGUCAAUGGGCGAGAGCCUGAACCAGCCAAGUCGCGUGAGGGAUGACGGUCCUAUGGAUUGUAAACCUCUUUUGUCGGGGAACAAAGGCGGCCACGUGUGGACUGAUGAGUGUACCCGAAGAAACAGCACAGGCUAACUCCGGGCCAGCAGCCGCGGUAAGACGGAGGUUGCGAUCGUUAUCAGGAUUUAUUGGGUUUAAAGGGUGUGUAGGCGUACAGUCCAGUCCACGGUAAAAAUGCGGUGCUCAGGGCCGUACCGCCGUUGAAACUGGCAGUCUUGAGUGGGCGAGAAGUAUGCGGAAUGCGUGUGGUAGCGGUGAAAUGCAUUGAUAUCACGCAGAACUCCGAUUGCGAAGGCAGCAUACCGGCGCCCUACUGACGCUGAGGCACGAAAGCGUGGGUAUCGAACAGGAUUAGAUACCCGAGUAGUC